AUCUUUACCUGGCAGGGGAAUACCAGGAUCGUGAAGAUGGUUUUCUCAGGGUGAGGUUCAUGUAUUGCACUCCGGGUGUGGUGAGCCCUGAGAUGUCCCAAAGUGCAAGAAACUCAAUGCAUGAUUUGUGGCAGGAAGAGAACUACAUUCACACUCUUU